UGGGGAAUAUUGCACAAUGGAGGGAACUCUGAUGCAGCGACGCCGCGUGAGUGAUGAAGGAAUUCGUUUCGUAAAACUCUGUUCUAUGGGAAGAAAAGGACUGUACCAUAGGAGAAAGCUCCGGCUAAAUACGUGCCAGCAGCCGCGGUAAUACGUAUGGAGCGAGCGUUGUCCGGAAUUAUUGGGCGUAAAGGGUGCGCAGGCGGCUUUACAAGUUGGAUGUGAAAUAUUGUGGCUCAACCACAAACGUGCAUCCAAAACUGCAAAGCUUGAGUUAAGGAGAGGUAAGUGGAAAUCCAGGUGUAGCGGUGGAAUGCGUAGAUAUCAGGAGGAAUACCGGUGGCGAAGGCGACUUACUGGACUUAAACUGACGCUCAGACACGAAAGCGUGGGGAGCAAACAGG
rnacentral:rRNA from 1 species